GCCAGUAUGGUGUGUGGUUUGAGUGCUGAAUUAUGACUCUAGAGACCAGGGUUCAAUUCCCAGCUCUGCCA